rnacentral:ncRNA from 1 species
GGCCCUGCUCCGGGGUGUGCCUCGCGAUGAAACUCUGUUCGUCGCGCUGCGCUGAGAUGGUCCAAGACCGAACCCGCUGAACUUGAUCCGGCUCAUACCGGCGAAAGAAGAGCUGUACCUGAUGAG